UUUGGUAUGCCACAUAUUUCUCAUUUCUAACAGAAUUGCACUGACUCUGAAAAUAGGGCUGCCAAAAUGUGGUAGCUGGAAUAUUUCUAUGGACCAGGGAUAGGCACGAGCCAAGGCUGUGGCAGACAUUUUCUAAAGUAAAGAACUUUAGUGAAGGACACCAAGAGUCAUUUUCUGGUACUAUGCGGCAUCAUGUGUGAGUGGCCACAACCCUGCAAAACGUGGCGCCGCAUGUGUUAAGGAGGAGUCAGGACCAGUAUUCAUCUGUCUUUCUCCUCCCUCCCCACAGCAAAAUGGGCGGCGGACACUGCAAGGGCCAGUCACGGACACCAGUGUCCGUGUACGGACACCUUGCCUAUCCCUGCUAUGGACACAAUCUUGCAAAAGAACACCCUGAAUACAUAGUGAGCUAUUCAUCCAAGCCUCUAUUGCAUUUUGGGACAGUAUUACUGGCAAAGAACAGGAAAAAGACAGAGGAUCACAGCAGAAACAGCACCAGGAUAUCAGGAACAGAUAUCACCAUUAAUCAAGUGUCUUAUCUAUACCUU